UCCUGGCCUGAUCGCCCCUAACUGCCUCUGCCUCAGCCCUGCCACCAUGGCUUUGUCUAGACUAGAAGGAUGUCCAAAAGGAGACUCUCCUGGAAGGUCUCCCGGUCUAAUUAGCGUAUUACCCUUUUAUUAGUAUAGAUUGCACAUAAGUUCCAUUGAAAUAGGUAGUAUUUCUAAUGCCAUUCAUAAUAGACUUUUGGUACUUACUAAUUGAUUGCUAUGACAAAAUUACUCUUACUAAGUUACCAUUUUACAAAUGUUCCACAGGAUGAGAAAAGCAUUACAUAUGUUAAAAUAUCCUCAAAAUUAUUUGGACUAAAGGAAGAUGUAUCUGUGAUGAAGUGGUUGAAGUUCUCACACUACAAUUUAUUACAUUAUAUUUAUACAUAAAUAUAUUCAUAAAUUAAAGAAUAAUUUAAGAAUUCUCUCAGAUUAAAAUUGAUUGAAUUAAUCUUGGAUGGAUGUGUUUUAUAUGUAAUUAAACAGGUUUAUUAUAACCAGAUUUUUGAAAGUGAAUCUAUAUAGGGCCAUAGAAAAACUAUAACAUUUAUGGAACAAUGCAUAGCACAUACAAAAAUACAUGUGUGAAUGUAUAGUAUAUAGAAGCUCAGUAUAGUAUAAGGUAAAUACAUAUUUCUGAAAAAUAUUUCCAGUGUUUUAACAUGAACUCACUUGUACUGCUCAAGCUCACAGUUUUAGAGAUUGUGUCUUUUAAAUAUGCUUUGUAUUUAAUGAGCUGUAGGAGAGAUCAUCUCUAAGAGCUUUCCUACAGUAUCACCAAGAAAGAAUAUAUGCUGUCAAGUUAACAUUUUGAUGGUUGGUAAUGAGAGAGGUGUGGAGAAUAAGCUUUCUGGUCCCACAGGGAGAAGAUCACCAAACAAAAUGAAUUUGUCCACUCACUUAUUCAACAAAGAGAGAUUGAGUUGGUUUUGCAGUAAUCUCACCUAUUUUUCUCUCAGAACUCAGGAAUGUAAUUCAUUCAGAACUGGAAAGAAUCUCUUUUGAAACAGUGAGUUCAUUCAGCAAAUAUUUAUUGAGUACCCACAAUGUGCUAGAAUUCACAGAACAUUCUUCUGGAUGAAAGUCAUGGAAGCAGAACCAAAGUGGAAUGAUUUCAUUUCUGUAUCGCAUCUGUUGACAUUAUACUGUCAGCCCCAAACAACCUUGGUCUAAUAUACUAUCAAGCAGCUUUGAAGAACAGGAGGAACAUGGGCUUUUAAGUCAGAUUUAGGGAUGGGAGGGGUGGUAGACAGAAUGGCCCCUAGGAUUUCCCGCCCAGCUGGUAUGCCUGAUAUGCACAUUCCCUGGGACUACACCAUAUAAUGGAUUUUACUCCUGUCACUAGGCUAUGUUUCAGUUGACCUUAAGAUAAUAAAAUUACCCAGGUGAGCUUUACCUAAUCCUAUCUAUACUUUUAAAGCAAAGAGUUCUCUGUAGCUGGUUUUAGGGGAAGAAGUUAAAGAUUUGGAGCUCAAGAGGAUUUGAUUCACCAUAUUGGUAUGAAGAUAGAGAGGAGUCAUGGCAAAGGAUGUGGGCAGCCUAUAGGAGCUGAAGGAAGCCCCAGGCAACAGCCAAGAAGGAAACCGGACCUCCUUUUUAAAACCACAGGAACAGAAUUCUGCUGACAAGAAUAAGCUUGAAAAGUGGAGCCUUCCCCAGAGCAUCCAGAACACUCAGCUGGGGCAAUACCUUGAUUUCGGCCUCACCAUACCCCCAGCUGAGGCCCCAGCCAUGCCACACUCUGAAUCACAAACCUGUGAGCUAAUAAAUGGAUAUUUUCAUGGUA